rnacentral:rRNA from 1 species
UAGCCGUAAACGAUACUCGCUAGGUGUCGGCCACGGUGCGACCGUUGUCGGUGCCGUAGGGAAGCCGUGAAGCGAGCCACCUGGGAAGUACGGCCGCAAGGCUGAAACUUAAAGGAAUUGGCUGGGGAGCACAACAACGGGUGGAGCUUGCGGUUUAAUUGGAUUCAACGCCGGAAAUCUUACCGGGACCGACAGCAACAUGAAGGCCAAGCUGAAGACUUUGCCGGAUUAGCUGAGAGGAGGUGCAUGGCGUCAGUGACU